UGAACCUAGUCCCCAAAACCUUUCAGUU
rnacentral:piRNA from 1 species